rnacentral:rRNA from 1 species
UGAAUACGAGACGCUACGGCGUCGAAGCAGUCUAUGUCAUACUUCCAAGAAAAGCUCGCAAUGUCAUAAACAAAUAAUGCCUGUACCAUAACCGACACAGGUGGGUAGGUAGAGUAUACUAAGGGGCGCGAGAUAACUCUCUCUAAGGAACUCGGCAAAAUGACUCCGUAACUUCGGGAGAAGGAGUGCCUUAUUUAUAAGGUUGCAAUAACAAGAUCCAAGCAACUGUUUAUCAAAAACACAGGUCUCCGCUAAGUCGUAAGACGAUGUAUGGGGGCUGACGCCUGCCCAGUGCCAGAAGGUUAAAGAAGUUGGUUAGCAUUCGCGAAGCUGAUAACUGAAGCCCUGGUGAACGGCGGCCGUAACAAUAACGGUCCUAAGGUAGCGAAAUUCCUUGUCGGGUAAGUUCCGACCCGCACGAAAGGCGUAAUGAUUUGGAUACUGUCUCGGAGAGGGGCUCGGUGAAAUAGACUUGUCUGUGAAGAUGCGGACUACCUGCACCUGGACAGAAAGACCCUAUGAAGCUUUACUGUAACUUGAAAUUGAAAUUGGACUUUAUUUGCGCAGCAUAGGUGGGAGGCGUCGAGAGUAUUCUUGCGGGAAUAUUGGAGCCAUCAGUGAGAUACCACUCUUGUAAUGUUAGAUUUCUAACUUUGGAUCAUUAUCUGGUCAAAGAACAGUUUCAGGCGGGCAGUUUGACUGGGGCGGUCGCCUCCCAAAUGGUAACGGAGGCGUACAAAGGUUUCCUCUGAACGGGUAGAAAUCGUAUCUAGAGUGUAAAGGCAUAAGGAAGCUUGACUGUGAGACCUACAAGUCGAGCAGGGACGAAAGUCGGUCUUAGUGAUCUGACGGUGCUGAGUGGAAAGGCCGUCACUCAACGGAUAAAAGUUACUCUAGGGAUAACAGGCUGAUCUCCCCCAAGAGUUCACAUCGACGGGGAGGUUUGGCACCUCGAUGUCGGCUCAUCGCAUCCUGGGGCGGUAGUACGUCCCAAGGGUUGGGCUGUUCGCCCAUGAAAGCGGUACGCGAGCUGGGUUCAGAACGUCGUGAGACGGUUCGGUCCAUAUCCGGUGUAGGCGUUAGAAUAUUGAGAGGAGCCUUCUUUAGUACGAGAGGACCGAGAAGGACAUACCUCUGGUGUACCAGUUAUCGUGCCAACGGUAAAUGCUGGAUAGCUAUGUAUGGAGAGGAUAACCGCUGAAAGCAUCUAAGUGGGAAGCCCACCUCAAGAUAAGUAUUCUC